AUGUACGUGGUACGGAUCUGAAGGUAAAGGACUUACUCUUCGGAGUGAGAGCGUACACAGGUGCUGCAUGGCUGUCGUCAGCUCGUGUCGUGAGAUGUGGGUUAAGUCCCGCAACGAGCGCAACCCUGCAUUCAGUUGCCAUCGGUAAGGCCGGGCACUCUGGAUGGACUGCCGGCGACAAGCCGGAGGAAGGUGGGGACGACGUCAAGUCAUCAUGGCCCUUAUGUCCAGGGCGACACACGUGCUACAAUGGCCGGCACAACGGGAAGCGAAGGGGCGACCCCGAGCGGAUCCCACAAAAGCCGGUCUCAGUUCGGAUUGCAGUCUGCAACUCGACUGCAUGAAGUUGGAAUCGCUAGUAAUCGUGGAUCAGCCAAGCCGCGGUGAAUACGUUCCCGGGCCUU
rnacentral:rRNA from 1 species